UCUUGGGCAAUUUGAUUUUUUUUCAUUAGUUUCAUCUAUCAUAAAAAGUUCCACCACACCAGAUGAAGCUAAAUAUUUAUGCAUGUAGAUCUAAUUGUUUUUAAUCACUUCUGUAUGCAUUUUAUGUACUUCUACUAUAUUCUUUUCUCACACACCCAUAAUAACGUUUUCUUUUGCAGUAUUUUCAACUUUUUUUCCUGUUUUACGGUGUUUUUAAAAACUGAAUUUUAUCUUUUUCGAUCAUCAGUGUUUCAAAAUAGGGCUAUACAUAAGUACAAGAAAAUGAUGCGACAUUCGUCGGUCUUACUAAUAAUAUUGAUUGCAUAUUCGGCGUAUUGUUUUGGAGUGAUGAUCCCUUAUGGAAAUCAUACUAAGAUCGAAUUCUCCGCAAGAGAAAACCUCACUAUUACUUGUACUGGUACCGAUGAAAUCACAUGGAAGCGUCCGUAUAAUGAUAGAGGUGGUUACACAGUAAUUGCGGAAACCCCACGCAGAAAAAUCCUUCAAAUAAAAAACGCUACAGUUUUUAAUUCUGGGAAUUACAAAUGUUUUUCAAUAAAGAACAGCAGCGACUUCGCGAUGAUUUUUCUUUUUGGUGAUGACUCCGCAUUCGCAGCUGUGAGAAGGAGCAGUUCUUCCAUAUCCUCAUUUCCUGGCUACAUAUUUCAUUGAUGAAUGAAGAAAACGGUCUUGAUUUAUUAACACCUUUAACUAGCUGAUAAUCUAAAACUAUGACAUAAUCGCACACGUUAAUUAACGUAGGUCUAAUAAUAAAUAUUUGGGCGUAAAAUAA